rnacentral:rRNA from 1 species
UACGUAGGGUGCAAGCGUUAAUCGGAAUUACUGGGCGUAAAGCGUGCGCAGGCGGCUUUGUAAGUCUGAUGUGAAAUCCCCGGGCUCAACCUGGGAAUUGCAUUGGAGACUGCGAGGCUAGAAUCUGGCAGAGGGGGGUAGAAUUCCACGUGUAGCAGUGAAAUGCGUAGAGAUGUGGAGGAACACCGAUGGCGAAGGCAGCCCCCUGGGUCAAGAUUGACGCUCAUGCACGAAAGCGUGGGGAGCAAACAGG